UCAAGUCAUCAUGGCCCUUAUGUCCAGGGCGACACACGUGCUACAAUGGCCGGUACAGAGGGAAGCGAAACUGAGAAGUAGAGCGGAUCCCUACAAAGCCGGUCGCAGUUCGGAUUGAGGUCUGCAACUCGACCUCAUGAAGCUGGAAUCGCUAGUAAUCGCAGAUCAGCCAAGCUGCGGUGAAUACGUUCCCGGGCCUU
rnacentral:rRNA from 1 species